rnacentral:lncRNA from 1 species
AGGGAUUUCAGCAUAGCUUGGCCUUUUGUCUGUCAGUGUAGCAAGGGGUUUAGAAGCAGAGAUUGGUCCGCUUAUAGAAUGCCUCUGCAUAGGGGAUACAGCAGCAGCUGGGGGAGUCUUCAUGGGACUUGGACUCAGAGGAGUGCGAGGAAUUGUGGCAGCAGCAGGACUUGGAACUUGGGAGGCACUGUCAAAGGACUUGAUGAGUGUUUUGACAGUCGGAGUUGGCUCUGAGGAGGUGGAUGAUCUGCGGCUCAGGCCCAUUCCCUGUCUCAGAGCUGCCAAAUCUCUCUCUACAGCAUUCAUGUAAUUGUACACUCGCCCGCGUUCCUCUUCCUGCUUGCGUGACUUGAUUUCCUCCAACUCCUUAGUGAGCUUCUCAUUUUUUUCCUGAGCUUCGUGUAAUCUUCGCUUUAGGUCUCCUAUCUCUUCCUGGGCCUCAGACUUUAUAUCAUUUGCUAUAACCACUGCAGUCUGGAGAUCAGCUUGGAACUGACGCCAUUCUGCUGACUCCUCCCGCAGUCUCCUGUGAAGAUUCUUUAUCUCUCUUUCCAUGUCAUGCUUUUGGUCCUGAAGUUUUUUAACUGUAUUCUCCAAAUCAGAUAUGAUGAGGUUGUCAUGAAGCUUCACAGCACGAUGCUGCUCUACUUCAUCCUCCAACUCAAAGAUAGUUUCUUUCAUGUCACUUCUCUCAGUUUCUUUCUCAUCUAGCUCUGCCCGAAGUUUUUCUAGAGUCACGUUAAGAUCCUCUAUUUGUUUCUUGGCUUCUUCUUGGAAUACUCUGUACUCAUCUUCAACCUUAGCAAUGGCAUCUUGCAAGCGAUUGGCAUCAUUGCGAGUGUGCGCCAGCUCCUCUUGCAGACUGCUGGCCAGUGUCUCUGCUUUUUCUUUAUCCAGCCUGACACUCUCCAGCAAAUCUUGUAUAUCUGAUUUGUCUCCAGAGUUGUGUAUCGAAUACAACUCAGCCACCUUCUGCUUCUCGUGCUCUAGCUGAGCUUUCAGCCUGUUCAUCUCUAUCUGGUCGCUGGCUACCGUGGCUUUGUACUCCUCUAAGGUCGAUGCUAUUGCUGUUUUGCUCUUCUGCUCUGACUCAAUGAUCCGUUCCAUGUGGUGAUUGCGUUCUUUCAACGCCCCUAUCAUUUCUUGGGCCUCCUUAUUGUCUUGUUCUGCCAUCUUCAAGGUGUUGCUCAAGUGCUGCUGAACACCUAGCAGCUGCUCCCGCUCAAAUCGGGCGUUCUCUGCAAGGUCCAUGUAACGCUGCUCCAACUCCAUGUAGCGACCACUUUUCAUAUCUUCAUCAAUCACAUAGGAAAUAUGGUGUUCAUCUAAAAGAGACCGAAAAUACUCUAUCUGACGGCUGAAAUGUUCCAACUUAUCGCUUUGCUGGCACAAAGAUUCCAUCAGGAUUACUUUUUCCUCUCCCAGUCUUUCAUUCUCGCUGUUUAGCUCUUGCGUUAUUUGCUGCAGAUCUGCAAGCUCUUGAAGCGUGGCUUGGAGCUCUUCUGCUGUGCUGUGCUGGUUCUCUUCCAUCUGAUGUAUCCGCUCUGUCAGACAAGCUACGGACACUUCGCUCGCGUUGCCACUGCUUCCCUUUCUAGAUCUUUCUAUACUUGGUACGCCUUCAGACUCUGAAGAUGACGGAGCAUCUAAAGCAUCAUCACUCGAUGUCAGUGGCUGAUAAACUUCACUGCACUCACUAUCUAAAUUAUCCAUGGAGUUACUAUGUUGGUUGUCCAUCAGAGUGUGUUCAUCCUGACUUAGCAAAUCUUCCAUCGAUCCAGGAGCAGAACCUUCCACAGAAGAUGUCAGAGUACCACCGCCAUCACUGUGGUUGCCAGCUGUAAUCUCCGGACUCAAAGACUGAUAGCCAAAGAGUUUCUCAGAGUUGUCCAGCCUUUGUUCCAAAGAGAAGCCUAAUGCAUUUAGUCUGUCUUUUAACAUUCGGUUCUCAUUCUUCAGCUGGUUGAGCUCUUCUCGGAUGGCAGUGUUUUGUUCCUGUAACUGUAGCAACGUAGACUCUACAUCAGUUGGCUGAUGGACAACAAUGGCCUCUUUUUCUUCAGAUUUUUCAUCACCUUCAACUUGGUCUUCGUUAAGUCCCAGCUGAGCACGCAUGUCCCUUAGUUCAUUUCUCAGAUGCAAGAUUUCCACAUCUUUAGUUUUUGCUAACGUCAGAAGAUCAUUCACCUUUGCUUCCAAUGCAGCUUUGUCACUGAUCUGAUUGUCUGAUUUGGACUUGCUCAUCCGAAUAUCCGAUUCUGGAUUGGUGCGACUACGGGAACGUUUGGCCAGUACCGUAUCAUUGCUGCCCUGUCCGGCCAGAGGCAGUUUUUUACUCUGGCUUAAGCGGGAACGAUCUCGUAUUCUUUCCCUAGAAGAGCUCGAUUCUUUAGUUCCAGAUGAAGUGCUACGCCUAGCCGUGGAACCUGCAACAGUUCUAGGUUUAUUUUCCAGAGUGCUCAUGGUUGUCCCUGUAGUUGAAGACACUGUUGAUGCACACGUGCUCUUUUUUGCCUUGACUCCAUUGGUCAUUGUCACUCCACCACCACUGGCCAUCCCUGCUAAGAGGUCAUCGUUGCUCUUAGUCUUCAAAAGGGAUGCCGAUGUCCCAGGUUUGGAGAGUUUUGUUACUGCAGACAGUGAGGAGCCGCUCUCCGGUUUGGUUUUUUCAGUUGUUUGAGUCUUAUUUACUCCAGGCACUUUGGGCACUGAGCCAACACUCCUGCUUGCUUUCUUCAUUCUGGGCUGUCUGUUUAUGAUGCAUUUACAAACAAAUCGGGCAGCCGCCUCCUCCUCCUUCCCGCGUCUUCGCGGCGCGGCCCGACGUGAGGUGACGGGGCCGGGCCGGGCCGGGCCGGGCCGCGCGCGCCGCCGGCGGGAGGCGGAGGGGGCGCGGAGGGGCGCGCGCGGACGGCAGGGAGCCCCCCCCCACCUCGCCCCGUCCCGCCCCUCGCGGGCGGUGCCGCCGCACUGCGCACGCGCCAGCCGUCCCCCUCUCGCGCCAACCCGGGGCCGAGCCGGCGCGUGCGCUGUGGCGACGCGCGCGCUCCUAUUGGCGGGCCGGGCCGGGCUCGUGCCGUGAGGCGCUGCGCAGCACCUGAGGGCGCGGCCGUAACGGCUGCAGCUCCAGAGCGGAGAGGUGGCUUGCCGCCUGCUGCUCCAGCACAGCUUGAUUACCUCUGCGGGGAAACGUUUCUUACGUAUUUAUGGGAUCAGGUUGCGAUGAAGGUGUCAUUCCCCAUCCUUUCCUCUCCGUGCUGGCGGGGGUUCCCCAGGAAGGCACGCAAGUGCUGCCUGGAAAAUGGAGGCGCCGCUCAGCCGGGUCUUUGUGAAGGGGAGAGCGGCUGGGAGCACCGACCUGGUCGUGAGGGGAGAGCUGACCCUGCCCAUGGCGAGCAGGCAGGGUGAGCAGAGGCCGGGGGAGGAGGCAGCCCUGGGUAUGCCGGUGCCACUCGGUGUGGUUGAAUACAGCAGUGCGUUUUGUGGUCCAGAGAGCCAUUUUACAGAAGGACUGCUGUGUGAUACACAUCCACCAUUGAUUUUUCUGCAAGGAACAGAAGCAGAUCCCUUAAAUCUACCGUGAAUGUAUUGGUCUUCUAUUACUGCAAGUCCCCAUCUUUUUGAAUUGAAAAGAGAAAGAGCAGAGGCUUUUCUUAAACAUUUCCCACUUCUUCCUAACAUUGCCAUGGUAAGAAUGCCACAUCUGACAGCACUGCCUCAGCAGAACAAGCACUGAAAACAAAGGAAGCAUUAACCAGUGAGGAACCAGAGAGGGUCGCUUUUUUCUCCAUCAGAUUUUAAGUAUCUUUGAAAGCCAUGUUGGUCGAUUUACAUUUUGUACAUACUGCAAAGAAUGGUACAUUAAGAUAAAUGACGUGUUGUCAUGCCUUCCAGUGUUACAGUGGGUGACAGGCAAACUUAGAGAUCCAUGUAUGCUUUACAGAACAGUACAUCCAUUCAAAUAAACUCAUACAAAACUAACUCAACGGUGAAGCACAGUUUUAAACAGGUAAAAUGAAUAAGCUGUGAAAAUAGUGCAGCUCCCAUCAACACACUCUGUGGUUCUACCACCUCGUGGCCAACACAACGUAUUGCAGUUCUGCUUCUUGUGCAUGCAGAUUGCCUUAACACGAGCAAUGGAAAGUCAGAAUCAAGGCGGGCAGUUGGCAUCAGCAAAUACAGUCAACACACAGCUGUACUUUGCCCUUAGCUGAUACAUUAAAAAACAGCAGCGUUAAAAUACAGCCUGCAAUAGCCUGGCUGCUACCUCAACUUGCUUAAAGUUAUGCAAGGAUAAAGAACACCAACAGCAUUUCAGUGGAUGUGUUUCAGUUUAAUUUCAAUCUCCUCCCAUGAAAAGCACACACAAAACAAAGCUGAGAACGAUCUAGUACUGUUUACUUCUUGCCCAUUAGUAUGACCUUUUCCCUUAUUUUGCUUUAAUUUUAAUAAAAAAAAAAAAAAAACAUGAGAAUUUUAGAAUAGUUUCUAAAUGCCAAGAAACCCAUGCUUCCUUCUCUUAAACUGGAGGUACAGUCUGUCCUAACGACCUGCAGUAUUUCUGCUGAAGCUAUUAAUGUUUCAGCUGCACGUAGCUGAAAGCUGCUUCAUUAGAAAUGUCAUUCCAAUGUAGUAGAAACAGAAAGAAUAUAAACUCUCAGUGCAGUUAAGGGUAAUUUUUGGCUAGUUUGCUGUUAUGUUGUUUAUAUUGUACCUUUUCUUACAGGAAAUGGAAAAGUUAUGUUUUCUGACACAGCUCACAGGGGGUUAUUAUUAAAUCAGAAGACCUUCUCUAAAGCCACGUUUUACAAGUCCCUUUAUGUUUUAAGUGUGAUAAGGCUUAUUAAAAACACAACAAAGUUUAAAAAAAAAAACAACCCACACCCACAACAUCCCUUGGAAAAGAAAACAAAAGCCGUUUGGAAAUGCUUCCUUUCUGAACACAAACGUCUAUCUGAAGAAAAACUUAAAUUGCAAAAUUAACAGAAAUUCAAGAAAUCAAUUCUCAUAUUUCAAUCAGUCCAUGAUUUCAUCAUCAGCACAAACAUCUGCUGUUUUUUCCAGCCCAAAAUUACCAGCUUUGGGGAAAACAUACUCAACAGAAAUAAUUAAUGGGUUACGUUAAAUUACCUUUUUUUUCCCUGAUCCACAUGCCUGCAUGUUAGAUUACGUUACAUUAGAACUGAGCAUUGUAGUUGAGAGAGUAAAGCAACAACCUGUAACAGUAACCAAAGCGAAAGCCAUUUCUCAUGGUUACACACCAUACAUCAGUAACUUAAUAUUAAUAUUAAUUUCCUAUAUAAAUAAAAAUAAAAAAGUUGGGUAAAAGUAAAUUGGCACAGUCAUUAUGGUAUUGCUUUCCAGUUUCAACACUGCAAAGAGCAGCCACAGAUUCUGAACACGGAAAGGAAAAGGCUCUGUCACCCAACCACCUGCUGUACUCUGCUUCUGCUGUUGGUUUGUGGGGCUUUUUUUCUUUCCAAAGCAGUCAGCAGCAGUGCUGCUGCCUCAGAUGCACCACACAACAGCUUGGAAUGGGCAGGUGUGCAGCUAGCAGGAAAAGGAUUGUUAUGGAACUGCUAUGUGGAAAUGAGAACAAAUACAUAAAACCAAAACCACAGAGUGGUUUACUGGUCUGCCUGACUUAAGUUGAAAGUUUUCAAGAUUGAGACUGAUUUUUACCUUCAAAAAAGGCAGAAAUAAAUAUAAAAAAUGCUAAGCCUUCAAGUUUUCUUGCCUUCGUUCCCUCCCUCCCCCCAAAGCACCUCCAACUAUAAACAAUUUUUCUGUUUUCCAGAUUCAGAAGUCGGAAUGUAAUGGAAAUACAUAGAAGAGAGAAGGAAUUUCUAGUUGUACAUUACAUUACAAAGAGGUUUGCUCCCAGACCUAAGAAGGGAGGGAUACUAAGCAAUAUUAAAUUCCUAUAAGGAUCCUUACAUAGCAUGCAAAAUGUUGAUAUACUCACAAAAUCGGAAUUUCUAUUUUUUCCCUUUUUGAAUUUGUAACUUCACAGUACAAUAUUUUCUAAUAUUAUGCAGCAGUCAAAAUUACAUUGACUACAAAAUCAUUUCCCUUCCAUUAUUAUUUUUUUCUCUCCAUUCGUUUGAAAGACUCCUUUGUUGGUGUUUUUUUAUAUAUAUUUUUGUAACGGAGAGAUUGCAGAUCACUCAUCGGAAAACAUAAAAUUCAGCAUCACAAGGGUUGCUUUCUCUGCGGCAUUUCUCCUCAAAUGAUGUUGGCAACCCAACUACACCAACCAAGAUCUAUCCCUCCCUCCCCUUCUCCAUGCUGAUUCCUCCCCCCUUGUCUUCACGCUGCACUUUUCUUCUUGCCUGGAUGACGGAUGGUUGCCACCAAACGGAAGCUGCAUAACUGGGUAGGAAGCAAAGAGGGCUGGAGUUGGUAAUGAAAAUGGAGUAAUUCCCACCUCUCCCAGGAUGUUUGGCACAGCUGCUUCACAGCCAGAAUACUUUGCUCUGGAUGCCAGCAAUUAGAUGAUGCUUUCAGUUCUCUAGACAAACACUGCUGUCCUUUACACCUGUGUAACCUCUGUGGCUUUGGCCACGUUAGGCAGGGAGAUACCAGCCUAGUAUUUAGUGAGACCUGCUGUACUGCUCCGUGUGGUUCCACAGAAAUCCCUUCACUGCUCUUACUUAAAACAGGCUUGAAAUUUCUGAAGAGUACGCAUGCAUGCUACUGGCUAAGUUGUCCGUUAAGUACAUUCUGACAUAUUUAUCAAAGCAUCAGAAGACGACUCUCGUAGAAGCAAUGCACGUACAAAGCCUCCAAAAUUCAAGUAUAUAUAUCUAUAUAUUUAAAAAAAAUAAAAAAGAUGUUCUGAUAGGAGUAAGCAGCCAGGCAACCUGAUAACCACUAAUUAUUUGUUUUGUCCACAAAUACUUCAAUUAUUUUUGUUAACAUCUUUUCUUUGGAGUGUUGGGAAUUAACAGCCUUCCCAAAUAAUGUUCAUUAAGUUUGGCAGAGUCUAAGGAAUUUAGCAAUCCUCUCUGGAUAAUAUUGCUCCUGCUUUUAUGCAAACAAACAACAAAUCACAAAGCACUGACUCAAACCAUCCCUGCCUCUCUUUAAUUUGCUAUAUUUAUUUGUAGUGAAAAAUCAUUGAGUCUGGGCCCUUCAACACCCCCACCCCCAAAAAAAUCCAUGCCAUCAGAAGUGCAACGUAGGCAGGAGCACGGCAUCUCCUUGUAUAAACAUCUGCAGGAGAAGGGGUGGGCAAGACAAAUAAAAAACUUUUGAGCUGUAUGCAAAACUGUUUCACUGCUUUAGAACCCUGUUCAAAUCAGGACUUCAACUUCUGAGGAGGGUAUCUCAGAUCCCAGACCCUUCCCUUCUUUUCUCUUCUUGCAAAGCAAUGCUAUUUUUGUGGCCUAGAACAGUACUUUAAAAACAGCAGUUAUUAAAGACACAGUUGUGAUAGAUCCUUUAACUCCCUCUCACCCAAAAAAGGGUAUCCUAUCAAGUGGUCCAUUAGAAAUCUUGACGUUUCUUUACGACAAAUCCAUAAAAUGAGGAAUACCUUCC